UUUUAUAUUAGGCUAGUAAUAGUUAUGUUCUUGAAACUUAAAAAAUUUGGCGGUAUUUUAGUCUAUUCAGAGGAACCUGUUCUGUAAUUGAUAUUCCACGUUGGACCUUACUUAAAUUUGUAAUUCAAUUUAUAUACCGUUGUUAUUUAAAUAUUUUUUAGAAUAAUAAUAUUUAAUUAUUUUUAUAAAAAUUUAUAUCAAAUCAAGGUGUAGUUUAUGUUUAAGUAGAAAUGGGUUACAAUAAAAUUAUUUAUGGAUAUAAAGAUGAAAAGUUUAUUGAAAAUGGAUUUGAUUGUAAAAUUAUAAAGAUUAAUAAUUUGAUUUUAGCUCUAAAAUAUGU
rnacentral:rRNA from 1 species